rnacentral:rRNA from 1 species
GCAUAUCAAUAAGCGGAGGAAAAGAAACCAACAGGGAUUGCCCUAGUAACGGCGAAGUGAAGCGGCAACAGCUCAAAUUUGAAAUCUGGCUUCGGCCCGAGUUGUAAUUUGCAGAGGAAGCUUUAGGCGCGGCACCUUCUGAGUCCCCUGGAACGGGGCGCCAUAGAGGGUGAGAGCCCCGUAUAGUUGGAUGCCUAGCCUGUGUAAAGCUCCUUCGACGAGUCGAGUAGUUUGGGAAUGCUGCUCAAAAUGGGAGGUAAAUUUCUUCUAAAGCUAAAUACCGGCCAGAGACCGAUAGCGCACAAGUAGAGUGAUCGAAAGAUGAAAAGCACUUUGAAAAGAGGGUUAAACAGCACGUGAAAUUGUUGAAAGGGAAGCGCUUGUGACCAGACUUGCGCCAGGCUGAUCAUCCGGUGUUCUCACCGGUGCACUCGGCCCGGCACAGGCCAGCAUCGGUUCUCGCGGGGGGAUAAAGGUCUCGGGAACGUAGCUCCUCCGGGAGUGUUAUAGCCCGGGGCGUAAUGCCCUCGCGGGGACCGAGGUUCGCGCAUCUGCAAGGAUGCUGGCGUAAUGGUCAUCAGCGACCCGUCUUGAAACACGGACCAAGGAGUCAAGGUUUUGCGCGAGUGUUUGGGUGUCAAACCCGCACGCGUAAUGAAAGUGAACGUAGGUGAGAGCUUCGGCGCAUCAUCGACCGAUCCUGAUGUUUUCGGAUGGAUUUGAGUAGGAGCGUUAAGCCUUGGACCCGAAAGAUGGUGAACUAUGCUUGGAUAGGGUGAAGCCAGAGGAAACUCUGGUGGAGGCUCGCAGCGGUUCUGACGUGCAAAUCGAUCGUCAAAUCUGAGCAUGGGGGCGAAAGACUAAUCGAACCAUCUAGUAGCUGGUUACCG